GGGGCAGUAGCUCAGUCGGUUAGAGAGCAGAGGACUCAUAAUCCUAGAGCCGUGGAUUCGAGCCCCACCUGCCCCACCA
rnacentral:tRNA from 1 species